rnacentral:rRNA from 1 species
GACGAACGCUGGCGGCAUGCCUCACACAUGCAAGUCGAACGGAAAGGCCCUUCGGGGUACUCGAGUGGCGAACGGGUGAGUAACACGUGGGUGAUCUGCCCUGCACUUUGGGAUAAGCCUGGGAAACUGGGUCUAAUACCGAAUACACCCUUCGGGCUGCAUGUUCUGGGAGGGGAAAGCUUUUGCGUUGUGGGAUGGGCCUGCGGCCUAUCAGCUUGUUGGUGUGGUUACGGCUAACCAAGGCGGCGACGGGUAGCGGGCCUGAGAGGGUGACCGGCCAUACUGGGACUGAGAUACGGCCCAAACUCCUACGUGAGGCAGCAGUGGGGAAUAUUGCACAAUGGGCGCAAGCCUGAUGCAGCGACGCCGCGUGAGGGAUGACGGCCUUCGGGUUGUAAACCUCUUUCGCCAGGGACGAAGCGCAAGUGACGGUACCUGGAGAAGAAGGACCGGCCAACUACGUGCCAGCCGCCGCAGUAAUAC